UGUGGGAUAUUUGAGACAGUUUUCUCCAGAGCUGUGAGUUUUGUUGGUGAACAUGAUUGAGGUCACUUUGCAACUUGAUGUCUGUGUCUGGGCCUGUCUCACAUUCAUUCUUCCAGCCCAUAUUUACUGGGAGAUCACACAGAGCAAGCAGCAGGGGAUGCUGAAAGAGGUCUGCAUGCAGGAAACAACCCCUGAGGAAACAGGAGCUCUGGGAAAGAAGGGAGCAGCCUCCUUCAGUAUUCCUGAGAGAGCUGGUCUUCUGUUUUGACUCAACAAGUGGCCUUGAACUGGAGGAGAUGGGGAAAAGGGUAAGAGUAAAGAAGGGAUGUUGGAAAGAUGGUGUCCAGAGCCCUAAGGACCUGUUGCUGACUAUUCUAGAUGAACCGGGAGAUAUACA